rnacentral:rRNA from 1 species
AUUGAACGCUGGCGGCAUGCCUUACACAUGCAAGUCGAACGGUAACAGGUCUUCGGAUGCUGACGAGUGGCGAACGGGUGAGUAAUGCAUCGGAACGUGCCCAGUAGUGGGGGAUAGCCCGGCGAAAGCCGGAUUAAUACCGCAUACGACCUGAGGGUGAAAGGGGGGGAUCGCAAGACCUCUCGCUAUUGGAGCGGCCGAUGUCAGAUUAGCUAGUUGGUGGGGUAAAGGCCUACCAAGGCAACGAUCUGUAGUUGGUCUGAGAGGACGACCAGCCACACUGGGACUGAGACACGGGCCAGACUCCUACGGGAGGCAGCAGUGGGGAAUUUUGGACAAUGGGCGCAAGCCUGAUCCAGCCAUGCCGCGUGAGUGAAGAAGGCCUUCGGGUUGUAAAGCUCUUUCGGACGGGAAGAAAUCAUGAGGGCUAAUAUCCCUUGUGGAUGACGGUACCGUAAUAAGAAGCACCGGCUAACUACGUGCCAGCCGCCGCCGUAA